rnacentral:rRNA from 1 species
AACGAACGCUGGCGGCAUGCCUAACACAUGCAAGUCGAACGAGACCUUCGGGUCUAGUGGCGCACGGGUGCGUAACGCGUGGGAACCUGCCCUUAGGUUCGGAAUAACUCCCCGAAAGGGGUGCUAAUACCGGAUAAUGUCUUCGGACCAAAGAUUUAUGGCCUUUGGAUGGGCCCGCGUUGGAUUAGCUAGUUGGUAGGGUAAAAGCCUACCAAGGCGACGAUCCAUAGCUGGUCUGAGAGGAUGAUCAGCCACACUGGGACUGAGACACGGCCCAGACUCGUACGGGAGGGAGCAGUGGGGAAUAUUGGAGAAGGGGCGAAAGCCUGAUACAGCAAUGCCGGGUGAGUGAUGAAGGGCGUAGGGUUGUAAAGCUCUUUUAACCGGGAUGAUAAUGACGGUACCGGGAGAAUAAGCACCGGCUAACUACGUG